UACGAAGGGUGCAAGCGUUGUUCGGAAUUACUGGGCGUAAAGCGCGCGUAGGCGGUUUUGUAAGUUGGGAGUGAAAUCCCGGGCUUAACGUACCGGAAUUGCUUUCAAAACUACAAAUCUAGAAUAUGGCAGGGGACAGUGGAAGUUCCUAGUGUAGAGGUGAAAUUCGUAGAUAUUAGGAGGAACACCAGUGGCGAAAGCGAACUGUCUGGACCAUUAUUGACGCUGAGGCGACGAAAGCGUGGGGAGCAACAGGAUUAAGAUACC
rnacentral:rRNA from 1 species